UAACAUUUAAUAUAACAUGCAUGAUUUGCUGCCAAACAUGUGCUUCUUGCAAAAAUUUUGAUGUAGAUCGUUUAUUGAAAAGGACAUUAAUUAGCAUUGUUGCCUUACGGCAGCUAAUAAUUUCAUGACUGACAAAUGACACUCAAACAACUUUUACUAAUAUAGUUUUUAGUUGGUUUUGAUUGAUGACCUGUUCAGUACUUCCUCCGUCCUAAAAGAAUAACAAGACUCAAAAGUUAGUAAAUACUACAUAAAAAGCACAGCGGAUUUUAAUUUAAGAAAUGUCCAGUAGAAGUAAACAAUUGCUCUAAGUCCAAAUAUGGGGCAUUUUUAGGGAUAAUAGGGGGAACUGGGUUAAAGGGUUUAUGGCGAAAAUUAGUGUCAAAACUCCCCUGGAAGCCGAAACUAGGGCCCUUUACAUAGGGAUCUUCUUCGGAAGCUGGGGGAUCCACAGAUCGGGCAUGAAGGGAGAAUGACCAACAAAGCUGCAGAUAGGCUAGCAAAGGAGGGCAGAAGGAUGAAGUCGCACCCCUUUUUCGAAGAAUGGACAGUUCCCCGUUGUUUAUCUGUAGAACUAUUUAAGUAGACAACGAGGAAAACUUGUAGUAGUAGUUUUUGUAAUGCCGAACUAUCUCCUGUUAUGUACUUCAGAAAUAUCUGUUCAAGUUAACGGUUUGUUGACACUUCAAUAUAAUACCUUAGAUAGUUGAGUACAAGAAAUACAAGUGAUCAAGUGUUGGUGGAAACGAAAGGCAUUACAGUUCCAUAUGCUGCACUGCAACCGGUGACUUAUCCCUUAAAAGUAAAAA